CAGUCCUUACAGCAUCUCUGCACGCUGAGGAUCAUUAGUCAAAGAUGGGAAGAUUAAGACAAGACGUGCCUAUGCACCCUGUACAAGCCCGUAUAUCCAGACUGAAGACAAUGCUGGUGCCUAAUUUGAAGGGAAGGGGAGCCUCUGAUUCUCACCCAUAGAGUUCUACGCACUGAGUGGUUUCCAUAAUGAGCUGACAGUUGUUUCCAUGGAGGACCCCUGUACUUUCCUUAACCUGUGCUUCGAUGGACAUUGCAAAGACAUCCCACACAAGCACAGCAAGCUCAUCCACACCAUAGAAUGUUACCUACCCCCAGGAGUGUGAUUAAGCGGCUCAGGCCUGGAGUAAUGUGGACUGGCUGUGCCAAGAGACUCUCCAAGGUGCAGUCUUUGAACUCAAGAAGCCAGAACCCAUGUCUGUUCAGUUGUCCUAUGCAUCCAACAUGCUCAGCACAUAGUCCUUCUUCACACACCUGUGAAAUGGCAGCGCUUGCAUUCUUGCCUCUGCUUUACCCCAGAACAGAGCUUAACAGAUUCUUUCCUCCAUCUGGCUGAUCCGUUGGGGGCAGUGCAGCAUGGUGACUUCUUCCAUCAGCCUCUUUGCAAGAUACGUCCAUGACCAACAGCAUGUAACAAAUGUCCUGGGUUAUUUCCUAGACCAUCUUCUCCUUAACUGGAAAGAGUACACAACAGCAGGAGCCCCAUGAAGUGGAUGGAGCCAGGACUCCUAGAAAUAAGGGUACAAGAGUGAAAUUAUACUUCCACUCCCCAUCUUCCCAGGCUGUGUGUCUACAGGCCAGCUGCUUUCCUCUAAUAACAUCAUUCUGUUCAUCUGCAAGGUGGAGAUGGUACAGUAUUUGUUCUGCACAUACACCAAUGGAUUACUCUACAUUUACACUUACUUUCUAUUGAUGGAGAAAAUCCUGAAUAGGCAAUGAACGUCUUACAGAAAAUCAAUAAAUAUCUCUAUGUGUUCAAGCACAAG